AUAAUAUAAAUAUAGUAAAAUCCUGAAAAAACUCAGCUACAUAGACCAUCUACACAUUCAAAUUCCCAUUAAUUUAGAAAACAAUUUUAAGGAACAUAGCUGGGGGCGGGGAGGGGCAUGUUCCCCUUCCCAGCUCUCCAAAGGCUAGAUACCUUUUUCAUGAAGUUAUAUUAAGCAGUAACAGCAAUAGCUUUAUGUGCAAACAUCUCAAAUAUGAAGUAAGUGGCAUUUAGAGCCCAAGAAUUCCUAAUCACUAUUGCUCCUUAGCUUUCUUCCAGGCCAAUACUAAUCAGUUAAGAGUAGUUCUCUGAGCCUGAAUGUAUCACCUUAAGAGAGAUCUGGCAUGCAUGUUUCAGCUUGACUUUAUGUCAUAAUGGAAUGAUCUCUUGGGUGAGGGUCCAGGGAAAGGAGGCACCAAAUCAUCAAUUUAACUCUGGUGCCCAACCACCUCCUUUUACAUUUAAGUAGUUUCCAUGUCUUUAUUCAACUUUUUCUCCUCUAGAGGGGGGAAGAAAAGCCCUUUCAUUCAUCUUCUAUUGUAAGCACAUGGAAAACGCUGAAUUCAAUUCUAAUUCUACAUUUAUCAAGCAACCUUCUAUCGGUGAUUUCUGUCUUCACCAGCAGAGUCCUGUCAACAAGUAUUUUAAUUUGCUAAAGAUUGAAUUAACCAGUUGCAUGAUUGCAUGUGAGUGAAGCAAUAAAUUUGAAUUUUUUAGACUUCUCUUGCUCCUGAGAAACCAAGAGAAACCAUCUAAGAAAAGCAUCAGGUGUUCUAUGAAAAUUCAUAAAAUACAGCAAGAUAAAAGAGAAAUUUUAACAAUUCAAUGAAGAAAAUAGAGCAAAAGAGAUAAUGAGGGUGGAAAAGGUAGGAAGAAGUUGGAAGAAAUCACGUUAAUAUCCAAAAUGCCUACCAUAAAGUUUUAUGAAGGAAAACCUUUUCAUGUACUGAAACCAAACAAUCUACAUCAAAGUUUGAACGAUCUUGGAUGCCUCACGUUUAAGAGCUUCCUGUCUACCACCUGAAUGUUAGUCCCACUCCAGGGCCCGGAGCCUCUGCUUCUGCCCCCAAGAGGCUGCCUGAAGCAUCUUUCCACCAAGGCAGAUAGUAGUUACCAAUACUCCAGAAAGUGACAUCUUCUUUACAUUUUUUUCCAAUAAAAUAACGCAGUUACAGUUUGUGAAAAAUAAACAGCCGGCCAUGAAUGAAUGUACACGUCCACAGAAAUGGAAAAUAAAUGUAACUGAAGAAGUC